CCUACGGGAGGCAGCAGUGAGGAAUAUUGGUCAAUGGCCGAGAGGCUGAACCAGCCAAGUCGCGUGAGGGAAGACGGCCCUACGGGUUGUAAACCUCUUUUGUCGGGGAGCAAAGCGAGUCACGUGUGACUCAUUGAGAGUACCCGAAGAAAAAGCAUCGGCUAACUCCGUGCCAGCAGCCGCGGUAAUACGGAGGAUGCGAGCGUUAUCCGGAUUUAUUGGGUGUAAAGGGUGCGCAGGCGGAGGUGCAAGUCAGCGGUCAAAUUGCGGGGCUCAACCCCGUACUGCCGUUGAAACUGCAGCCCUUGAGUGCGCGAGAAGUAUGCGGAAUGCGUGGGGUAGCGGUGAAAUGCAUAGAUAUCACGCAGAACUCCGAUUGCGAAGGCAGCAUACCGGCGCGCAACUGACGCUCAUGCACGAAAGCGUGGGUAUCGAACAGGAUUAGAUACCCGUGUAGUC
rnacentral:rRNA from 1 species